GGAGAGGUGGCUGAGUGGUCGAAAUCGGCGGUCUUGAAAACCGUUGAGGGGCAACCUUCCUAGAGUUCGAAUCUCUACCUCUCCGCCA
rnacentral:tRNA from 1 species